UACGGAGGGUGCGAGCGUUGUCCGGAAUCAUUGGGCGUAAAGGGCGCGUAGGUGGCCCGGUCAGCGUGCGGUGAAGGCUCGGGCUCAACCCCGAGUCGGCCGUGCGAACUGCUGGGCUUGAGCACUGUAGAGGCAGGCGGAAUUCCGGGUGUAGCGGUGGAAUGCGUAGAGAUCCGGAAGAACACCGGUGGCGAAGGCGGCCUGCUGGGCAGUGGCUGACACUGAGGCGCGACAGCG
rnacentral:rRNA from 1 species